rnacentral:rRNA from 1 species
GCAAAACGCGAAGAACCUUACCUAGGCUUGACAUGCAUCUCUAAGCACGUGAAAGCGUGUGACCCUUCGGGGAAUUUGCACAGGUGCUGCAUGGCCGUCGUCAGCUCGUGUCGUGAGAUGUUGGGUUAAGUCCCGCAACGAGCGCAACCCUUGUGACUAGUUGCCAGCACGUUAUGGUGGGAACUCUAGUCAGACUGCCCAGAUCAACUGGGAGGAAGGUGGGGACGACGUCAGGUCAGUAUGGCCCUUACGCCUAGGGCUGCACACGUACUACAAUGCCCAGCACAAUGAGAACCGAGACCGCGAGGUGGAGGAAAUCUAAAAACUGGGCCCAGUUCGGAUUGGAGGCUGCAACUCGCCUCCAUGAAGUUGGAAUCGCUAGUAAUGGCGCAUCAUCUACGGCGCCGUGAAUACGUUCCCGGGUCUUGUACACACCG